rnacentral:rRNA from 1 species
UGGGGAAUUUUGGACAAUGGGCGCAAGCCUGAUCCAGCCAUGCCGCGUGCGGGAAGAAGGCCUUCGGGUUGUAAACCGCCUUUGUCAGGGAAGAAAUCUUCUGAGUUAAUACCUCGGGAGGAUGACGGUACCUGAAGAAUAAGCACCGGCUAACUACGUGCCAGCAGCCGCGGUAAUACGUAGGGUGCAAGCGUUAAUCGGAAUUACUGGGCGUAAAGCGUGCGCAGGCGGUUUUGUAAGACAGAGGUGAAAUCCCCGGGCUCAACCUGGGAACUGCCUUUGUGACUGCAAGGCUUGAGUGCGGCAGAGGGGGGAUGGAAUUCCGCGUGUAGCAGUGAAAUGCGUAGAUAUGCGGAGGAACACCGAUGGCGAAGGCAAUCCCCUGGGCCUGCACUGACGCUCAUGCACGAAAGCGUGGGGAGCAAACAGGAUUAGAUACCCCGUGGUAAGUCCACGCCCUAAAACGAUGUCAACUGGUUGUUGGGAAGGUUCCUUCUCAGUAACGUAGCUAACGCGUGAAGUUGACCGCCUGGGGAGUACGGCCGCAAGGUUGAAACUC